CUCAUGUCCAGUUCAUACCAUAGACUGGGACAGGCACGUUUAAAAACAAUGAACUUGUAAAUUCAUCAUACUACAAUAAUUAACCUCUGUCUCGGUCUCUCUCUCUCUGAGUAUGGAUUCCAAAGCUAUUCUUAGUUAUGCUGUACUUCAACUCACCCCAACCAGGACAAGAUGUGAUCUUGUGGUGUGUUUGGGGGACCGUAAUGAGAAACUUGCUUCUGGGCUUGUGGAACCCUUCAUUUCUCACCUGAAAUUUGCUAAAGAUCAGAUUCAAAAAGGAGGGUACUCAAUUACCCUCUAUCCACCAUCCAUUCAUGCUUACUGUUUCACAAAAGCCACCAUUCAAAGAUUUGUACGUUUUGUAAGCACACCUGAAAUUCUCGAGAGAUUUGUGCGAAUCGAAAAAGAAAUUUUGCAGAUUCAGAGUUCUGUUCAAUCUAAUGAAUCCUCGAACGGAAAUAUAGCAGGGCAGGCUGACAAAGGAAGCUUUCUAGCUGGCAAUGCGGUUUUGAAGAAGUCAAAUGAUUCCUGCAAGUUCAUAGAUGAAGUUGAAGUAAUUGAUGAUGCUGUACAUGAAGAAAACUCCAAGAUCUGCCUUCAACGCCUUUUAGAGACUCGGAAAGCAUUACUCCGGAAAGAACAGGCCAUGGUGUAUGCCCGUGCUCUUGCUGCUGGAUUUGAAAUGGACUAUAUAGAUAAUCUCAUAUCCUUUGCUGAUGCUUUUGGGGCAUCACGUUUACGGGGAGCAUGCAUAGAUUUUAGGGAACUGUCGAAGAGAAAGCACACAGAUGGCCUUUGGAUGGAUGAAUUAGCGUCAAUGGAGGCAUGCUUCCCACCAGAGCUGUCAUAUUCAGGACCAUCUGGGAUUGUACUUACAUGUGAAAGUGACGCCACGAGUCAGAAUAAUAUAUUCUCUACCGGUAAAGUUAUGCCGAAUGGCUCUGUAAAUGCAUCAUCUGACUCAAACACAAGUCUGGAAAAUUCAAAUGGCAACAAAGAUAAACACUUCCCUGCAUCAGAUCAGAUACCACCAACUUCAGCAAAAGUUCAAAUGAAGAUGCCAUUUUCGAAUCAGAUUCCUCAGUACAUGUACAAUUUUCAUAGACCUGUUCAGCAGAUGCCUCCAUUUCGAGGUUAUCCUUUCCCUGGCAUGCGGCCUGUACCUCCAUAUUAUCAAGGGAAUAUGUGUUGGCCUCCAAAUAUGGAUGUUCCUAGUCAUGGUCAUCCCCGGGAGCCAGAUUAUCGUCAGCAUCAGAAGUCAUCUACAAGGAAAAAGGAAAAAUCUUCAAGUGUAAAAGAACCCGUAGCUUCAGAAGAAGAUGAACAAACUGAAUCCAGUGACUCUGAUUCUGGAAGUCAUUCAGAUGGACAUCCACAGGAUGACAGAAAGCAUUCUUCAAAGGAACAACCAUACAGAAAAAAGCACAGGAAGAAGUCCUCCAAAACAGUUGUCAUACGUAAUAUAAACUACAUCACUUCCAAGAGCAGAAAUGGAGAAACGGUUGGAGUCCCUGGUGAUCCUUCUUCAGUCGAGGAUGAGUUAAUUGAUCAAGAUUCAAUCAAGCAGAAGAUAGAGGAUGCAGUUGGAUCAUUGGAGAAACACCAUGAGUCAGCAUCACAUGGUAAUAGAAGAAGAGGUGGGCACAAGAGCCCCAGAGAUUUAAAUAGAUCGGAUGGUUCUGCUGACCGAGAUUCAGAGAAUGACCAAGUUGCAGAUACAUCUGGGAGAAGGAAAGGAAAUGAGAACUGGGACGCUUUCCAGAACCUUCUGGUGAGAGAUGAGGAUUCAACUGCUAAUGAAGUAGAGAAGGAUCAUCCUAUAAAUUUUCAGGAUGAACACUUCAGAACCGAAAGAUCUGACGAGAGCAUUGCAGUUGUGAGUAUCCAUGCUUUAGACUUGGAACUGGAGAAAACCCUUGCAGUUGAUUCCUUUGCUGUGGUCGAGAGGGAUGGAGGACAAGAAGUUAGACUUAACCUGGAAGAUUUUGGAAAUCGUGAGGAUCUCCGUUCAAGUAUGAAGAGAAUAGAUUGUGCAGAUGAACAAAUGUUACUUUUGCAAGGAAUGGAAAAAUCAGGAAGCUCUCUUGAGGGAACACUAUCUCAUUGCACCAUGGAGUCGCCCAUCAUAAAAAAUGGAAAGGGAGAAGAUUGGUUCAUUGUCAACCAUUCCCGGAAAUCAGAAAACCAGGAGGCAGCCUGUCAGCAAGCAACUUGUGGUGACCAUUUUGCUUUGUCAUUGGAGGGAGAUCGCUCUCAGACAGGAAGUUGUAAAAAGAUUGUACCUAUUGAUGAUUCUUUCAUGGUAAAAUCGCUGUCAGCAGUUGAUGAUCAGUUUGAUUCUCAAUGGAAAACUGACAUGAGCAUGAUUGCUGACCUGAAUGUAGCUUCCCAGCCUAACAGUGCCAGCCCAGAUGUUAUACAGGAAAAGCCUGGACUAUCUAGUACCUGUGAGCCAGAUGACAUCUGCAUGAUGCUUGUACGGAAUUCAGGAUGGGAAUCUGCGGGGGCAUAUAGGACUCCCGAAGUGGAUUAUGGUAUUGAAAUUUCAUUUACAGAAGCUAAGAAAAAGUCAUCUGCCAUUGAAACAAACGAUCACAUGGUCGAGAAGGUUCCUGUGAAAAUUAAGAGCACCAAUGGUAAGAACGCUCUAGGUCUUGGUUCAAAUAAUUCAGGAAAAGAAGCAAGAUCCAAAGUUUUUCGGGGAUCUCUUGCAAAGAGCAACUCUGAUAUUUUGUCCAAGAUCAAGAAACCAUCUCCUACUAGUAGGCCCAUGGUUCGAAAAAGCAAAGUGGAAAAGGAAGCAGAUAUUCGAAGGAAAACGGAAGAAUUAUUGAUCCAACGCCAGAAGAGAAUCGCUGAAAGAACUGCAGCUAGUGUUUUUACUCCUGCAGCAUCUAAAAAAGACCCUGUGGGUAGUAAAACUGCUUUCUCGAAGUAUGACAAGCAUAGACCUCAGUCCAGAACUCAAUAGACAAAUAUAUUGAGUUGGCCUAAGCUGGGGAUCAGAAUUUCAGCCACAAAUCACCUAGUACUUGGAUAGACGAUAAACAAGGGAGUAUAUGCUUUGUUGAAAUCUGACCAACUUUGGGAAACAAGUUCGAAGAUGAUUGAUAUUGUGAAUGCUUAGAUACUCCAUGAACAUUCUACCAUGAAGCUUUAUUUGGCAUUUCCUUGAAAGUUGAAGAGGAUGGUACAACAGGUGGGAGAAUUCAAAUUUGACAUGGAAUUUUGGAGAUGAAAAUCAUGCCUGACAGAGGCAUUCAUUCUAUCCAUCACGAACUACUUGAAUAAAAAUGAAGAAUAUAUUUACUCGGUGAAGAAAUUGACCGAGAAUGUACUCUCCUCCAUCUACCGAAGAGUUCAAAAAAUACGUACUGUUUAAUUGAAAAGGCUACAAAUCUCCUCCCAAUGGAUCAGAUAGUACUCGCCUCUGUUACGGGUCUUCCACUUCAUAUUAUGAUUAUUUCAAUUGUUGCUGCUGAACCUGAACUUGUAUGUAGUGAAUUUUCUCAGAUCUCCAAUGUAUUUAUUUUCUUUUCAUUGGAGGUGGAUAAACUGUGCUUCAGUUCCAUUUUAGGUUGUCGUUGGUUUACGAGGUCAUCCUUUAGCAGUUGUGUCCUGGUGUUUCUGAAAUUCUUUUUCAGGCAUUUAAGUCCUCCAUGGAAGAAUUGGUUAACCACAACAUUUCUUCUAUGCAUUAAGUUUUGCUGGCUACAGCAGUGGACAGGAGUUCUCUCUUGUGGCUGUAUUGGCUUCUCGGCCGCUACCAUUUCCUGAUAUGGCUGGAUAAUUGAGAGAGCACAAGCAACAUAUCCUAACAUUCUUGUAAGCAAUUUUCUCCUGCAGUCUUCUAUUGAAAAUCCUUUUUCAUGGAUACAACUGAUCCGAGUAGUUGGGAACUUGGGAUUUAAGGCUUGUUUAGUAGUUGAUUUAAUGUAUUGUCUGUAAGCAAAAUAAUAGUCUAACAAUAAUAAUUAAUUAGCAUUAAUCAUUUGAAUAGAACCAGAUCAACGGUUAUACAUGCUUCUAAGAGAGGUUGCAC